GCUGAUCAUAUGAUCAUUUCUUACCAAACUGAACACUAUAUGGGCUAAAAUGGCAUAGGCCUAGACAUCCCCGUAUUAAGUGUUUCAUUCUAUUGUAUUCAGACUCACUGCAGAGAUUAUUUUGGUUUAGCCCUAAUCUGUUGCCAAUGUGAAAACGCUUGGAUGGCGCCUACAGGCAAGUUUCUGGUUACUGAGGGAACGCAGAUGGUAGAGGAGACUGACGGGCAUUCAUUCUGUCAUCAGUUUGCAUUACAAUAGAACGUACUCGUAGAUCUGUGGCAGCUGGAGUCCGUAGCUUACAAGCGCUCGCAUACAAAAUACAGACAUCUGCGGGUUAAUUCCUCGUGCCAUCCAAACACUCCUUUGUCCAGGUUUCAGUCUUGUUAUAUACUCUCCAUUAUUAACCGCCCAUCAGAGGCAGCUGCUCCGCACUCACCCGACCUCUCUGCUCAAGGCAAACUGACGCACUCCACGGGAUUAGUCGGACACUGUUGGAGCCAUUUAUCGCGCCAUCCUUGCUGACACAGAUGGUGCGAGACAGGUGCAUUUUGGACCGAUGGUCAAACCUGCAUCGAUGCAAAAGUGGCCAAACCCACAGCCCAGCUGGCAGGACGCACGUCCCCAUGACAACUGGGAUUCCCUGGGGUCCCUGAUGGACUGAUGAAUACAGGAGUAGGGAGACAGGUAUGCGUCCAGUAUAUCCACACAUAUUGAAGGGGUUCUUCUAAAGACAGAGGAUUAACCACUACUAUUGGUGGUAAUGAUGUCUUGUAGGCUUCCGUUCCUCCAUGAAAUUUGUAUUGACUAUUGUUUGUAUUACGGGAGCUACCGAAGCAAGAUAUUCAUUUCAAUUAGGUCAGUUUAAGGUAAAACAUUUCAAAUAAGAUGAAAAAGGUUAAUCAGGUCAGUUAGUAACUGUUCCUAACCCUUCCCUCCUGCAUCCCAUGGUAUAUUUUGGCAGUAGUCAAGUCCAACGGUCCAGCCUCUCCUUGGUAGGGUUUUGGGGGCAGGUGUUCCAGGGGGUUGCGUUCCACUUUCUGCUGCUCGCUGCUCUGUGUUUCUCUCCAGAUAUGCUGAGGAGGAUACUGAGAUGGUGCCAGCCCUCAGAAGCCAUUUAGACGAGUCAACAACAUGACCAGACUGACAGAGCUGUCUACAAAGCUGUUUUCUAAACAGUUGUCAACGCGGUUCAUCCUUACCGAAUUGGAACUGGGACGGGAACUGGGACCUAUGGCUUUCACCCACUGACGAAUGAACAGUACUACAAGGCUACUGACGGAGCACACUUCUUUUGCUAUCGAUUUGUGUUAGGAGACCUUGAUUAUUAUUGUUAUUAUUAUUAUUAUUUGGAAGUACCAUUGGCACAUUGCUGGCCCCUUUAAUUGUAGUCUAUUUUAUGCCGACGUCAUUCAGGACCACAUUUCAUGCCAUAAGAGAGACCCAUAAAGGGUGGGGUUUUAGUGUUGUCUGAUGCUUUGGCGCUUUCUUUACCUUAAAUAUUGUUUACAUGAGGGAGCUCUCUCCCCUCUGUAAAAUAACACUUUAUCAUCCCCUUCCACACUGUUCAGCUGAUCAAAGCAGAGAGAGACUAACACCUCUCUCUGAUGUCUACUUCUCCUCAUGCUGUCAGCACUUUUCUCUUCUCGGUAACCUUGGCAGCACUUUUAACACCUUACUCACUUCCUUCUACCUCUGAUGUCUAACAUGACUAACAAGGUUGAGUCUGCUGAGAUGGCCUUCCUGCUAAUUUAAUUGAUGUGCUCCUAAAGGCGUCAGCAUGCUUCAGUUUGGCUGACGCCUUCCCGAAGUCGGCUAGGUAAACCGAACAAGUGUGCUUGCAUCCUCCCUUAAAAGACCUUCACUUGAAAAACAAUAAAAAAGCGGCAAUAGUACCGAUUGUCCAUUUUGACAUGCCGUAGCCAAUAUAAACUUACUCAAAAUAUUCAGAAUGAAUCUAAGAUAACUCAAGAAAUCCGUCAUAAAAUUUGACGUUUUUGCGGAGGAGAUCUUAGUCGCGCAAUUUUACAUCUAACUGAGAUGUUUGGUGCAGUAUUUCUCAAUGAAAACAUUUGCAUGAAAACAUGUCGUCUCUCGUUGAAUUACAACAAACGAAGGAGCGUAGAUUUCGGCUACCGACUUCGGCUUGCCUCUAGAAAAAAUGUUGUGUGCUCGAACAGCCGAAAAAACCCGUACCAAAGUCCAGAACGAACAAAAACGUCACAAAAUGAUGUCAUAAUUUAUGCACAAAUUCUAUUCAACUGUUUUGGCUGGGAAGCAUGCGGAUGUCUUAACCCAGCUGACAUACCCAUACCACUCCAGCAGCUAAUGCUUGUUAUCAUUAGUCUACUCUAACGUUACAGGAGUGUUAUGAGGAUGUUACGACUUUAAUAGAGUUGUGUCAGUGUUUGUGGCGGUGUUUGGAUGGUCUCCCGAGGCCUGGUUUGUCUUGUGAUUUCUGCAUGUACUGCAACUCCCAAUAACCUCAGCUAGAGUCAUAUAGAACUAACCAACACCAGAGUAAAUCUGAUUUGCUAACCUGGACUAACAAUCUAACAGUCACUAAUCAAGCUAAUCAACCAAACUCAAACCCAAGCCCCGUUGAGGGGAGGACGGCUCAUAUGAAUGGCCGGAACGGAGCAAAUGGAAUGGUAUCAAACAAAAUGGAAACCAUAUAUUUGAUGUAUUUGAUACCAGUCUAUUCAUUCCGCUCCAGCCACUAGCCCGUCCUCCCAAAUGAAGGUGCCAACAAAUUCCUGUAAUGUAGUUGUACAUUUUCAGUUUAAGAGUGAAGCUCUUAGUGUAAUUAAUUUCCUUACCCAUUGAAACCAAACCAUCAGCUCUCUUGGCAUUCCUUAAUAAAUACACUAACAAAUACCCUCUAAUACCUAACAGUACUAAUGUCUGGUAACAGACAUUUUGUUACUUAUACUAACCUGUACUAUACUAACUUGUACCUCUCCCAUUUCCCUGAAACCCUUCUUCCGCCAGACACAGAUCACCCAAAAUCAUAUACAGUUACUAUGUAUUUAUCUAUCUGUCAUAACCUUAAGCUCAGUAUGUUGCUUGUUGAGAAAUGUUACUUUUGGCCCCUGAAGCGCAAUGGUGAGAAUGAUUCCAGGAUCUGGGAUGGGAAGCUGGAUUAACCAAUAGAUUUAAAGACAAAGCGCAUCUACCUACCUGUAGCUCACUGGGUUGGCCACACACUUCUGCUCAGGGGGACGCCUAAAAACAUGUUACAAAGGUUUCAGUAACUAUGUUAAAGAUUGUUAUUAUUUUUGUAAAAAUUGUUCCAUCUUAAUAGUUUAACAAAUAAUGGCUGACAAAUGUUUGUACCCCUGUCCAUUGUGUGGCCAACCUCUAAAAGGUGUUGCAGCUCAGUGCUUGGUUUGUAGCCUGCAUAGACACAUGUGUAUUCUCUUAUUAGAUAAACCAAAGCAAAUAGCAACCCUUACCUGCUUUACUACUAACUGAGUGGUGACUGGUACUAACAACCCCAGAUGAGGCCUAACAAUUUGGCCAUUGAUUUCUUGCUCUUACUAACAUACUGUAUCUUCUCUCAGACUAACGUGUGGUGCUUCUUUCAAUGCUAUCGACCCGUACUGCGACCAACUUAUCACCCAUCACUUCACCCUGCAGUAUCUUUUCUUUACUUCCUGAGUUGUCAUGAGGAUAGACAUCCCUGUGUCCUUGAUCGUGUGACACUUUACUAACCUGCACUGGAGUGAGAAAGCACUAACUAUUGGGGCAUGAAACAGCUUCCCACAAACUAACAAACUAACUAACCUACUAAUGAACUAAUUAUCUAACAAACUAACUGAAAUGACUAAUUGUGUGCUGAGAGUUAUCAGGUAUUGAGGUUUUGGUUCAGCAAGCCAUCCCCCUCUCUGGUGUGUGUUGUGUGUGUGUACGUGUGCAUGUAAUGUAUACUGCAACUAGCUCUCACAGUCUCAUGUCAGAAUUAGACGUUCAUCCAUGUUUCUCAAACAUCACAUUUCAAAUUUCUUCCAAACUUUGAAUUUCAAAGUGUUUAAGGUUAAGGUUAGGUGUUAACUACGAAUGGUUAAGUUUUGGAAUAGGCUUAAAACAAAAAUCUUAAAAACAACUUCAUAUUGAGGGAUUUGAGCGCACAACCUUUGGGACAUGAGGCAAAAACAACUUCAUAUUGAGGGAUUUGAACACACAACCUUUGGGACAUGAGGCAAAAACAACUUCAUAUUGAGGGAUUUGAACACGCAACCUUUAAGACACAAGGCAGAUGCCAUUUGCCAUCUACCAUCCCCACCUAUAACCCCCUAGCAAAACUGAAACCUACUUGAAUCUAACAGCGCUCACUGUUGCCCCUAGAGGCCAGUUUCCACAUCAUCUCCUGACAUCCUCAGACAUGGAAGAACGUUGAAUACUGACUUGUAUCAAGGGUGAUCUGGCUAGCAGACCUGUGGUUAUUAAUACUAACCUGUACUGUGGAUGAUGUUGUCUGGGCUUGUAAUUUCAAACACAUUAACAUUAACUACUCUUUGCUUUGUGCACAGAGUCUGAGACAGAAUCUUCUCCCAUUUCCCUGAAACCUUUCUUCCACCAGACACAGACCACCCAAAAUCAUAUACAAUAACUAUGUAUUUAUCUAUCUGUUAUAACCUUAAGCUCAGUAUGUUGCUUGUUGAGAAAUGUUACUUUUGGCCCCUGAAGCGCAACGGUGAGAAUAAUUCCAGGAUCUGGGAUGGGAAACUGGAUUAACCAAUAGAUUUAAAGACAAAGCGCACCUACCUACCUGUAGCUCACUGGGUUGGCCACACACUUCUGCUCAGGGGGACGCCUAAAAACAAAAUCUUUGUUACAAAUGUUUCAGUAACUAUGCUAAAGAUGAUUAUUUUUUAAGUUUUCCAUCUUAAUAGUUUAACAAAUAAUGGCUGACAAAUGUUUGUACCCCUGUCCAUUGUGUGGCCAACCUCUAAAAGGUGUUGCAGCUCAGUGCUUGGUUUGUAGCCUGCAUAGACCCAUGUGUAUUCUUUUAUUAGAUAAACCAAAGCAAAUAGCAACCCUUACCUGCUUUAUUACAAACUGAGUGGUGACUGGUACUAACAACCUCAGAUGAGGCCUAAGAAUUUGGCCAUUGAUUCUUUGCUCUUACGCAGGUUGACAUUUAUUGUCAUGAGUCUUGUCCUGGAGGCAGAACUGAGCGAUUUCCCCUUAGAUAGGCCAGCUGCAAAGUCAAAAUGGUCUAUGUUGUAAAAAUAAACGUUUUUGCUUUUUGGUCAUCGCACUAUCAGUGUGGGUAAGGAUAGGUUUAAUAUUAGGUUUAACAUCAGAUUUCAUGACUUUGUGGUUGUGCUACCUUGUGACCACUCUGCAGAGCGGACUCCAGAACAACAUUCAUGACAAAAAACACUAACCUGCUGCUCUUCCUAACAUGCUGUAUCUUCUCUCAGACUAACAUGUGUCGCUUCUUUCAAUGUUGUCUAACCGUGCUGCGACCAACUUAUCACCCAUCACUUCACCCUGCCCCUUGGUGAGAUCAAACAGCAUCUAGUAGGCCAUGCAGUAUCUUUUCUUUACUUCCUGAGUUGUCAUGAGGAUAGACAUUCCUGUGUCCUUGAUCGUGUGACACUUUACUAACCUGCACUGGAGUGAGAAAGCACUAACUAUUGGGGCAUGAAACAGCUUCCCACAAACUAACAAACUAACUAACCUACUAAUGAACUAAUUAUCUAACAAACUAACUGAAAUGACUAAUUGUGUGCUGAGAGUUAUCAGGUUUUGGUUCAGCAAGCCAUCCCCCCUGUGUGUGUGUGUGUGUGUGUACGUGUGUGUGUUGCGUGUGUGUGUGUGUACAUUUAUUCUCAAACUGUGUGCAUGAUGCCGUCAUUGUUUUUGUCUGAAUGAGUGUUAAGGAUUCAGCAUGCUUCAGUUGGGUUGGCGCCUAGCCAAACUUGGCUUGGCGAACCGAAUGAGUGUGCUCGCAUACUCCCUUAAAAGACCUUUGCUUGAAAAUUUGAAAAAGGAGCAAUAGUACUGUUGUCAAUUUGAGAUGCCAUAGCCAGUACACACUUCCUUAAAAUAGUCAGAAAUAAUCGAAGAUAAUUCAAGAAAUCUGUCAUUAAUUUAGACUUUUUUGCAGAAGAGAUCUUAGUCAUGCAAUUUUACAUCUAAGAUUUUUGGUGCAGUAUUUCUCAAUUAAUAAAUGUGCAUGAAAACGA